rnacentral:rRNA from 1 species
UCACAUCCGAGGCCUUGUAAUUGGAAUGAGUACACUUUAAAUCCUUUAACAAGGAUCAAUUGGAGGGCAAGUCUGGUGCCAGCAGCCGCGGUAAUUCCAGCUCCAAUAGCGUAUAUUAAAGUUGUUGCGGUUAAAACGUUCGUAGUUGAACUUGUGUUUCGCACGGGCAGCUACCAUAGGCUAGUUUACUGGCCAGGUAACUUGUCUUAUCUUGCCUUGGCCCCGUGCCUUGGUAAAAGUGCGUGGACGUAUUAUCGGCGUGUUCGCUCUUGCAGCGUUCACAUAAGCUUACCUCAGUGAUCUUCACCGAUUGUUGUUGUGAGCCGAUACAAAUUACUUUGAACAAAUUAGAGUGCUUAAAGCAGGCUUGUAACGCCUGAAUAUUUUGUGCAUGGAAUAAUGAAAUAGGACAUCUGUUCUACUUUCAUUGGUUUUUUAGACCAAGAUGUAAUGAUUAAUGGAAGCAGUUGGGGGCAUUAGUAUUACAACGCGAGAGGUGAAAUUCUUAGACCGUUGUAAGACUGACUAAAGCGAAAGCAUUUGCCAAAGAUGUUUUCAUUUAAUCAAGAACGAAAGUUAGAGGUUCGAAGGCGAUCAGAUACCGCCCUAGUUCUAACCAUAAACGAUGCCAGCUAGCAAUUGAGUGUAGCUACUUCUAUGGCUCUUUCAGUCGCUUCUCGGGAAACCAAAGCUUUUGGGCUCCGGGGGAAGUAUGGUUGCAAAGCUGAAACUUAAAGGAAUUGACGGAAGGGCACCACCAGGAGUGGAGCCUGCGGCUUAAUUUGACUCAACACGGGAAAACUUACCAGGUCCGAACAUAAAUGAGUAAGACAGAUUG